UUAAUAUUUUAGCCGGUUACUUAAAAUACUUGUUAAGAAAACCACAAGAACAAAAUUCCAACAAUUAAACACUGUAAAGGUGUUUUUUUUUAACAAAAUUUUUUGGUUGGAGUGGGGAGUAAUGGUCGAGCUACACUUGUCAUCCACCAUCAUAUUCAGUUUAACACAAUUAUCGUAGGACUAAGGGGUUAUUAAUCAAUGUUUUAAUUGAACAUAAACAAGCGGAGCGAAAUCAUUUUAAAUGUCGUUCGCGCGUGAAUACCUUGAAAAACACGUAGAUGGUAACAUUUAUUUUAAAAAAGCAAUAUCAUUCUGUAAUUUAUACUAUGAUGGAACGAUCUAACUAUAAAUUUUUUAUUUGCAUUUGAAGGUCAAAGUUUAGAAUUCAAAGGUGGGUGUGAUUGUACUGUACUAAAAAUAUUAUUGAUGCACCAUAGUGAAGAAAACCAAAAAAAUUCGAUUAAACAUGAAUAUUUGUGAUUAUAAGGCUUUCAGCACAAUUUAAAAUUGACCAGUAUGAUGAGAGUUCUCAGUCAGCAAUGAGAUGUAAUUUUUUAAAAUUAUGAGGAGACAAUUAUUUUACAAUAACAAAUUCCGGAAGUUAACAAAAGUGUGAACUGAACAAUUGUGCUUUUGAGCUAGGAAUUAAAGGUUUGGGACUGGCAUCCUACUUGCAAUUAUGGAAGAAUCUACUGAUUUGUCAUUCAAAUUACUUUAUACUACAAGAAUACAUAGGGAUUUUGGAAUUAAAUGCUUACCUCGUAACACAAUAAUCGUUCUCAUUUAAAUUGGCUUUAACAAUGAAAAAUAUUCAAUGUUUUACAGUUUCAAGGUUGUAUGUUAAACUGUUACAGCAGACAGCUAUAUAAAUAUAUUAACUUGCGACCCUUGUUUACCAAUCCUGCAUUCAAAACUGACUUGCGAUCACUGAUAUAUAUAUAUAUAUAUUUAAGUAUUGCAAACGAGUAUCACUUUUCAAGCAGAUAGGUUGGUGUCAACAACUUCUUGCUGCAUGUCAAAGUCAAAGUCGCACAUAUGAUUAUUAAAUUGACACUACCGAACAUCUUGAUAAAUACUUCAAGCAUGGCUUUUCUGGAAAACGAAAAAAAUAUAUCGUUCUCAUCUUUAAAAGUUUGAAGUUUGUAUACAUAGGUUCUACAGCUGUAAUUCCUUCAUAAAACAUCAAUGCAUAUUAUUAUUCCUUGAUUCUAAUAUGUCAGAUCGACUCAUUAUUAAAAAUAAAUUCGGUGAUACAUUUUUUAAUCUAUAAUUCAAGGCACCAUACUCAUUAUCAAAAUAACUUGGUAAUAUAAUUUGACGAUGGAACUUACAUCUUUGAAUGAGUCUAAAUUUUUUGUUUACGCGUUCAAAAUGUUAGAUGCAUAUCAAAUAGUGCGGAUAAAUAAGAAGCACAAUAUUAAGUUAGGGUUGCUAA